rnacentral:rRNA from 1 species
UACGAAGGGGGGCUAGCGUUGCUCGGAAUCACUGGGCGUAAAGCGCACGUAGGCGGCUUCUUAAGUCAGGGGUGAAAUCCUGGAGCUCAACUCCAGAACUGCCUUUGAUACUGAGGAGCUUGAGUCCGGGAGAGGUGAGUGGAACUGCGAGUGUAGAGGUGAAAUUCGUAGAUAUUAGGAAGAACACCAGUGGCGAAGGCGGCUCACUGGUCCGGUACUGACGCUGAGGUGCGAAAGCG